GGCAGGAGAAUGGCGUAAACCGGGGCCCGGAGCUUGCAGUGAGCGAGGUCAGCCACUGCACUCCAGCCUGGAAGCUGACAGAGAAAACCUCAAAAAAAAAAAAAGAAAUAAUAUCCAUUCUACACAGACUCUUCCCGGAAAUACAAGUUUACCAGGUCACCGUUACCACAAGCCCAAAACCAGAAAAGAUAUCACGGGAAAAGAAAAUUACAGGCCAACUUUCCUCAUAGACAUAGACACAAAACAGUUUCUAGAAUACUUGCCUUAAAAGUAAAUAGAGGCCAGGUGAGAUGGCUCAUGCCUGUAAACCCAACAUUUUGAGAGGCCGAGGCAGGCGGAUUUAUUGAGGAGUCCGCAGUUGAGACCAGCCUGUGGCUGUGAUGAAACUCGUCUCCACUAAAAAUGCAACAAUUAGCCAGGCAUGGUGGUGGCAGGAACCUGUAAUCCCAACUACUCGGGAGGCUGAGACAAGAGAAUCACUUGAACCUGGGGACAGAGGUUGCAGUGACCGAGAUUGUGCCAUUGCACUCUAGCCCAGGCAACAAAGUGAGAUUUAAGUCACCGAGAAGAAUUAAAAAAUAUAUAAAUAAAUAAGUAAAUAGAAAAAAAAAUGUUUAAAAGAUUUACAAAAGUUCUUGAAAUCUUAGUAGGUCGGGUGCACAAUGUAUAAAGAGGAUAGUACAUCAAGACCAAGGGGAGUUUAUCCCAGGAAGUCAAAGGGAUCCAGCUUUCUUUUUUUUCAGACAGAGUCUCACUCUGUCACCCAGGCUGGAGGGCAGUGGUGUGAUCUCGGCUCACUGCAGCCUCUGCCUCCCAGGAGAAUCGCUUGAACCCAGGAGGUGGAGGUUGCAGUGAGCCGAGAUCACACCACUACACUCUAGCCUGGGCGACAGAGUGAGACUCUGUCUCAAAAAAAAAAAAAAAAAAAGAGAGAGAGAGAGAGAGAUUCUUCCUUUUUUUUUAAAGUUAUGGGACCAGGUUUGUUAAUAACGUAUGUUAUGAGAACAGUUGAUUGCAGUCUCACCGUGAAGGCAAAAACAAACAAAAAAUGAAACCCAAAGGAUAUACAGAAAUAACCCUGUCCACCGAAUAAACUGAAUGGUGUUUAUAGCUGUAUAACCCAACUAAGUAAUCUUUCUCCCGUCUUUAGUUUUAUGCACCACCUGCCAUUCUAGAUAUUACCAAUCACUCUAAACAAUAUUAAUAAUAAAAACCAAGGCUGGACGCGGUGGCUCACACCUGUCAUCCCAGCACUUGGGAGGCCAAGGCAGGGCACCUGAAGUCAGGUUAGGAAUUCGAGACCAGCCUGACUAACAUGGUGAAACCCCAUCUCUACUAAAAAUAUAAAAAUUAGCUGGGCGUGGUGGCGGGCGCCUGUAAUCCCAGCUACUCGGGAGGCUAAGGCAGGAGAAUCACCUGAACUUGGGAGGUAGAGCUUGCAGUGAGCUGAGAUCGCGCCUUUGCACUCCAGCCUGGGCAACAAGAGUGAAACUCCGUCUCCAAAAAAAAAAAGGAAUAAAAGAAAAAAUAAAUAAAAACCAACCACUUUCAAUCUGAUAAUUCUGGGCAGAAAAUUGGAUAUAGUUUGGACAAGAUCUUUGAGAAAAAUUCAUAUACACCAAAUUAACUAGUUCUGUUAAAAAGUUGCUGUAAAAAUACACAUAUCGGCCGGGCGCGGUGGCUCAAGCCUGUAAUCCCAGCACUUUGGGAGGCCGAGACGGGCGGAUCACGAGGUCAGGAGAUCGAGACCAUCCUGGCUAACACAGUGAAACCCCGCUCUCACUAAAAAAAUUUACAAAACUUAGCCGAAGGGUAAGGUCGCAUCCCCAGCCACUGGUGCCGGAGGCAGGAGAAUGGCAUGAAACCCGGAGGUGAGCCAGGCGAGCUGAGAUCCCGCCACACUGCACCUGGUGCCUUGGUGAUGUAGGAGCUAGACUCACUCAAAAAAAAAAAAAAAAAAAAAAAAAAAAAAAAAUACACAUCAUCACGAAACAUACAGAACUUUAGAAUCCAGCUAAGAGUAGAGAAAUACUGAAUGUCUUAAUUUAUCUGGAGGGGGCUGUAAAUCCUAAGGUGGAAGGGCGUUUGAGCGCUUGCUGGUUCAGAGAUUCUAGUGUCUAGUAUCUCUCGAACACACAAAGACCAUUUUGAAGGUGGUUAUGGCCAGGAAACCUCGGGGUGGGUUCUCCCGGAGAAGGACCCUUUCUUUUCAUGGGAAGAUCUGGAAGUGACACCUCCCACUCCUGCCCUGGUCCGAUUGGCCAGAACGUGGUCACAGGCUAAGUCAGAGGCUGCAAGGAGGCUGGGAAACAUGGUCUUUAGCUGGAGAGCCUCGAACCUGGUGAAACUCCUUUUACCGUGAAAGGGGAGAGUACAGCUUGGGUGACAGUCAGAGGUCGCCGUGGCAAGGGUGGUCCUCCCCCAAGCUCUCCCACGGAGCCACAAGGCUUGUCCCCGUAUUCCCUCACCCAUCAGGUCACCACUCCUUUCCAUUUCUUUUCUUGAAGGCGUCUCCCGGCCUCCUGGAGACCUUUGUCCCUACCGCCCUCUC
ensembl:lncRNA